CAGUGAGGAUAAAGAGAUUGAGACAAACAGGUGGGGAGGGGGGCUUUUUGGAGUGGUUUGUCUAAGACUGUAUAUACUGCUUGCUGUUGUUUGUGCUUCGCCUCUCUACACCAGUCUGUCCUGGGUACGAGAUGCCCAAUUCUAGCGAGACUUGCUAGAAUAAAACCUUCUGUUUUCCACCUGGAGAUACCUCUGAGUUUUUUAUUUGGGCAAGCUACGUGGGCUCAGAAGUCCUAGAGUCAUUUGACCCUGUGUCCAACUAUACUUAUGUUCUUGAGAGCCUACUUAGAAACAUCUAAGAAUCACCUUCAGACCCUCAGAAGUAGCCCAGCAUGGUGGCUGUAUUAUAAACUUCAAAAAAAAAGAAAAGCUGGGUUCACGUCUCAGCUAUUAUACCCGGUGAAUGCGUGACCAUGGGCAGAAAACUACUUUUCCAAAAGGAUCCCACCACUUAACCUUUGCAGUUCUAACUCUAUGAUCCUGUGAUCCUGUUUAUUAUCUCAUUUAUCUGUUUUGUUAAAAAUCUAAGAAUGCCUCCUCAUUGCUGGCAAGAACCACUCAACUAGCCUUUUAGAAUUUGAAAGUUACUGUAUUACAGUUUGUCUAUAUUAUAUUAUAUUACCUUUGACCUGUCUUAUUAAUUCUCAUGCUUUCUUCUGUCCUAUUCUGUAUUUUAAAGAGAAAUUUAGAGAAAUUUAACUUUUUAUUUAGACAGGCAUUCUGCAUCUGUUUUUCUCUAUGUGUUCAAUUUUUGCAUUUCUUCUAUUUUGUAAUCCUUAUAUCUGAGGAACUUGAGGGGAUUAGUCUAGUAGUGGUUAAUCGUGGGAAUUGAGUGAACCCUACUGACUCCAUCUUGUGACUCAAUUCUGGAGCUAGCUCAGUUCUCUGU